UUUGGGUGAAAUAAGAACUUGACUCUUUCUUAGAAAACAAAAUAAAAUAGGAAAAUUUCAUCAACAUGAAAUAAAAUAAGAAAAUCUAUGGAAAAUCUUGAAUGUGACUCAACACAUAAACAAUUACAGUAGAGCUGGACUCGAAAAGCAAAAGACCAAGACCCAGCAAGCUUUACGAUUAUUCAUUUCUUAGUCUUUGGUUUCUUUCCAUUUUCUCAAAUAUAUGAAUCUCUGUUCCUUCUGAAAACCGUGUUUGUCUUAAAUAUUAUUUGGUCUAGACUUUAGAGGCAAAUUAAUGGGGGGUUUUACAGAUGCUAAUGAUCAGGCCUCUCUGUUGCAUUCUCAAAUCUCUGAGUCUUCUCUCAUUAUAACUGGGAAUGUGUGGACAGCAGUAGCACAUAUCAUAACAGCGGUGAUAGGGUCAGGGGUACUAUCCCUUGCAUGGAGUAUGGCUCAGUUGGGUUGGAUUGCAGGUCCUUUAGCCAUGCUUUUCUUCGCCCUUGUAACCCUCACUUCCGCUUUCCUUCUCUGCUACUGAUAUUGAUCUCUGGACCCUGCAUAUGGACUUUAUCGAAGCCGCUUCCACCUUGAAGCUGUUCAUAACAAUUUAGUUGGUGCAGAACAAUUCAGAAUUCCAGAACAAUUCAGAAUUCAUACUGUUACCACAUAGAAGGGAAGCUAGGCAACUCUGAAUAUGGAGAUGCUUCUUAUAUGUUAUUAUCUGGGGUUGUUCAAAUUUUACUGCCACAGCUACUUGAUUUCCAUAAUUUACAAUGGCUAUCAGUUGUUGCUGCAAUCAUGUUUUUUAGCUAUUCUUUCAUUGGUCUUGGACUUGUCUUCGCAUAAGUCGUACGAAACCAUCAGAGACUUCAAUUUGAUUUCUUCUUUUUCUUCUUCCUAAAGCAAUAAUUUUCUUGUCAAUAUAUUAAGGGAAGCAAUGCAGUAAUCUCUACUUCUACUGCAGCUGAAAAAACAUUGUUGGUAUCUCAAGCGCUAGCAGACAUUCUUUUUUCUUAUCCAUACUCCAUAAUUCUCAUUGAAAUACAAGUUUGACAUUAAUUUUGAUUGAAAUACCUACUACAAAACCAACAUUAAAUACCAAUUUUGGACAUUUAUGAAACGAUGAAAUUUGCAAAAACAUGAAGGAUACUUUGAAGUCACCUCCACCAGAAAACCAGACAAUGAAAAAGGCCUCCAUCAUAGCAGCUGUUGUUAUGACCUUCCUCUACCUCAGUUGUGGAGGUUUUGGAUAUGCAGCCUUUGGUGAUGAAACUCCAGGGAAUCUCUUAACAGGAUUUGAAUCUUAUGGACCACGUCGGCUCAUCAACUUUGCUAAUGCUUGCAUUGUGCUUCAUCUUGUUGGAGGUUAUCAGGUAUUUUUCCUACUCAGCAUACACAUGUCAUAUUCAAAUCCUCAUAUUAACUUUUUUGAUUUGGGGGUACGCUUAAAACAGAUCUCAAAUGAGCAAUUUAGCAAAAACUUUGUUCAACACAAGUCUAUGUGGCAUGCUCUCAUUUGCUGGCUGCAUUGGCCUUGUCAGCCAAAAUAUAUAAGCUGUGUAGUCGUUCAAUGCAACCUUAUUCAAUAAGAAAAUCAGCAAAUAAAAUUAUAGCAACAUUACUACAGUGAUGAGGUUGUCUCUAUUUUCUAUAAUGUACUUUCUAUUCAGUUACUCAAAAUCUUAAUGUUAACAUAUAUUCUGUCAACCACUCUUUACAAAUGUUGAAAAAUGGUUAGCCGAGGUGUUCCCACACAGUAGAUUUAUAGAGGACAAUUACAGAGUUAGAUUGCCAUUGUUGCCAGUUUUUACAUUAAACCCUCUAAGGCUGCGUUUCAGGACAGCUUAUGUCGUGUCAACAACUGAAAUUGCAAUCAUAUUUCCUUUACUUCAACCAGAUAUUGGACACGCUAGACGGCAUGAACUUUUAGCCCAUAACCAUAUAUUUUCCAGUAAAAAUUACUUGAAGCAGUCGCAGAUUGAAGCUUGAAGAGCAAGGUAGUUUAUGCUUCAAACUUUCAGCAUUGUUUGCUUGUUUAUAACUGUGUUUACCUCUAUUGGAUCAACCCAAGGACUAGUAAGUGAAAAACUAAGCUAAAAGGCUGCAAAAAUUUCCUUCACAAUGGGAUCAGAAACUCGUUUGAAUGUAUUAUAAUGAAUAAUCCUUCUGGCCUAAAUUGUAAAAAGACAAAAAUGUUACCUUAUGUAUAUAAUUAUCACUAUUGUGGUUUAUGAUUUGUAUUUAUGUAAAUAAUUAUUCCUUA